rnacentral:misc_RNA from 1 species
GUGAGUCAUCGAAUCUUUGAACGCACAUUGCGCCCUUCGGUAUUCCGUUGGGCAUGCCUGUUCGAGCGUCAUUUAACCCUUCAAGCUCUGCUUGGUGUUGGGCGUUUGUUCCGCCUUUGCGCGUGGACUCGCCUCAAAUUCAUUGGCAGCCGGUAAGUUGGCUUCGUGCGCAGCACAUUGCGUUACGGUUCCAGCCUGCCUCCUUCCACGAAAGCUUCUUCUAUUACUUUGACCUCGGAUCAGGUAGGGAUACCCGCUGAACUUAAGCAUAUCAAUAAGCGGAGGA